rnacentral:tRNA from 1 species
GGAGGGAUGGCUGAGUGGUCGAAGGCGGCGGUCUUGAAAACCGUUAGGGAUGAAAGUCUCUCAAGGGUUCGAAUCCCUUUCCCUCCG